UACGGGGGGAGCAAGCGUUGUUCGGAUUUACUGGGCGUAAAGGGCGCGUAGGCGGUCGUGACAAGUCACUUGUGAAAUCUCCGGGCUUAACUCGGAACGGUCAAGUGAUACUGUCGGACUAGAGUACAGAAGGGGGCAACUGGAAUUCUCGGUGUAGCGGUGAAAUGCGUAGAUAUCGAAGAGGAACACCUGCGGCGAAGGCGGGUUGCUGGGCUGAUACUGACGCUGGAGGCGCGAAAGCCCAGGGGGAGCGAAACGGGG
rnacentral:rRNA from 1 species